ACCUCAUAUUAUUGAUGAGACUGUUGCUAUGCUGCUGCUGAAAAACAACUCUUAGAUCCUUCCACCAAGGGGAGAAGUCUACAUUGUUUCUACCAUAACAUAAAGCAUUCCACCCACCAUAUAUAUUUGGACAUCAAGAGUCUAGCCCAAAGCUGAUUCUGGUUAUUUGCCAAGUCCCAUCCCCAUUUACCAAUCAAGGCCUCAUUAAACUUGGACAUAUCUUUAAUCCCAAGCCCCCCUUUGCUCUUGGGAAGACAAACAGUAUCCUAAUUGACC
rnacentral:misc_RNA from 1 species